rnacentral:rRNA from 1 species
GAUGAACGCUGGCGGCGUGCCUAAUACAUGCAAGUCGAGCGCACAGACUAUGUGCUUGCUCCCCUGACGUUAGCCGCGGACGGGUGAGUAACACGUGGAUAACCUACUUAUAAGACUGGGAUAACUUCGUGAAACCGGCGAUCAUACCGUAUAAUAUAUUGAACCGCAUGGUUCAAUAGUGAAAGACGGUAUUGUUGUCACUUAUAGCUACAUCCUCGCCGCAUUAGCUAUUUGGUAAGGUAACGGCUUACCACGGCCACGAUGCGUAGCCGACCUGACAGGGUGAGCGGCCACACUGGAACUGAGACAGGGUCCAGACUCCUAGGGGAGGCAGCAUUAGGGAAUCUUCGGAAAUGGGCGAAAGCCUGACGGAGAAACCCGGCGUGAGUGAUGAAGGUCUUCGGAUGGUAAAACUCUGUUAUGAGGGAAGAACAAAUGUGUAAGUAACUAUGCACGUUUUGACGGUACCUAAUCAGAAAGCCACGGCUAACUACGUG